rnacentral:rRNA from 1 species
UACAAAGGGGGCUAGCGUUGCUCGGAAUCACUGGGCGUAAAGCGCACGUAGGCGGCUUCUUAAGUCAGGGGUGAAAUCCUGGAGCUCAACUCCAGAACUGCCUUUGAUACUGAGAAGCUUGAGUCCGGAAGAGGAGAGUGGAAUUCCUGGUGUAGCGGUGAAAUGCGCAGAUAUCAGGAAGAACACCCGUGGCGAAGGCGGCUCUCUGGGACGUGACUGACGCUGAGACGCGAAAGCGUGGGGAGGCAAACAGG